rnacentral:rRNA from 1 species
AUGAUGACAAUCAGAAGACAAGAAAUAGAGCGAAAGGGAUACAUUUUCUUCAUUGACUUGAUACUCACCAGUGAAUACAUUCUCUUCAUUGAUUCCAAAUUCAAUUCUAGUGUGUACUCUUAUACCUCCUCUCGAAUAUUUUUCUUGUCUGAUACGCGAUUCAUAUUUUAUCGUCCUCUUGAAAGCGUUGUAGGUCUCAGACGUUCGUCCAUCUUGCUACCAUCUAUUCGGAAAGGCAUAUGGUUGCCGACAGUAAUGGAAGAAGAUUGGUGUAUGUUUCCUGGACCACAAGUAAUCUGCUUGCAUGACUCAUGUUUUGAUUUGAGUUACAGAUGA